rnacentral:rRNA from 1 species
CCCUUAGAUGUUCUGGGCUGCACGCGCGCUACACUGAUGCAUCCAGCGAGUUGUAACCUUGCUUGGUAAAGUUUGGUAAUCUGAGCCUAAUGUGCAUCGUGAUGGGAAUAGAGUUUUGCAACUAUUAGUCUUGAACGAGGAAUUCCUCGUAAGCACGAGUCAUCAGCUUGUGCUGAUUACGUCCCUGCCCUUUGUACACACCGCCCGUCGCACCUACCGAUUGAAUGGUCCGGUGAAGCCUCCGGAUUGGCGCGCACCUCGGUGCCGCCGAGAAGUUGGCUAAACCUUACCAUUUAGAGGAAGGUGAANUCGUAACA